rnacentral:rRNA from 1 species
GACGAACGCUGGCGGCGUGCUUAACACAUGCAAGUCGAACGGAAAGGCCUCUUUCGGGGGGUACUCGAGUGGCGAACGGGUGAGUAACACGUGAGUAACCUGCCCUUGACUUUGGGAUAACUUCAGGAAACUGGGGCUAAUACCGGAUAGGAGCUCCUGCUGCAUGGUGGGGGUUGGAAAGUUUCGGCGGUUGGGGAUGGACUCGCGGCUUAUCAGCUUGUUGGUGGGGUAGUGGCUUACCAAGGCUUUGACGGGUAGCCGGCCUGAGAGGGUGACCGGCCACAUUGGGACUGAGAUACGGCCCAGACUCCUACGGGGGGCAGCAGGGGGGAAUAUUGCACCAUGGGUGGAAGCCUGAUGCAGCAACGCCGUGUGCGGGAUGACGGCCUUCGGGUUGUAAACCGCUUUCGCUCAUGACGAAGCUUUGUGUGACGGUAGUGGGUAAAGAAGCACCGGCUAACUACGUG